GUCUACAGGCAUGCCACCCUGAACAAGCCCAAUCCUGUCUGAUUUCGGAAACUAAGCAGGGUCGGGCCUGGUUAGUACUCAGAUGGGAGACCACCUAGGAAGACCAGGUGCUAUAGGUG
rnacentral:rRNA from 1 species